rnacentral:rRNA from 1 species
UACGGAGGGUGCAAGCGUUAUCCGGAUUCACUGGGUUUAAAGGGUGCGUAGGCGGCCAACUAAGUCAUACGUGAAAUCCCUCAGCUUAACUGGGGAACUGCGUGUGAUACUGGAUGGCUUGGAUUUGGGAGAGGGAUGCGGAAUUCCAGGUGUAGCGGUGAAAUGCGUAGAUAUCUGGAGGAACACCGAUGGCGAAGGCAGCCUUCUGGGCCAACACUGACGCUCAUGCACGAAAGCGUGGGGAGCAAACAGG